rnacentral:rRNA from 1 species
ACUAGAAAGAGUGGCUAAUACCGCAGACGCCCUACGGGGGAAAGGGGGGGAUCGCAGGACCUCUCACUAUUGGAGCGGCCGAUAUCGGAUUAGCUACUUGGUGGGGUAAAGGCUCACCAAGGCAACGAUCCGUAGCUGGUUUGAGAGGACAACCAGCCACACUGGGACUGAGACACGGCCCAGACUCCUACGGGAGGCAGCAGUGGGGAAUUUUGGACAAUGGGGGAAACCCUGAUCCAGCCAUCCCGCGUGUAUGAUGAAGGCCUUCGGGUUGUAAAGUACUUUUGGCAGAGAAGAAAAGGUAUCCCCUAAUACGGGAUACUGCUGACGGUAUCUGCAGAAUAAGCACCGGCUAACUACGUGCCAGCAGCCGCGGUAAUACGUAGGGUGCAAGCGUUAAUCGGAAUUACUGGGCGUAAAGCGUGUGUAGGCGGUUCUGAAAAAAAGAUGUGAAAUCCCAGGGCUCAACCUUGGAACUGCAUUUUUAACUGCCGAGCUAGAGUAUGUCAGAGGGGGGUAGAAUUCCACGUGUAGCAGUGAAAUGCGUAUAUAUGUGGAGGAAUACCGAUGGCGAAGGCAGCCCCCUGGGAUAAUACUGACGCUCACCACAAUAGCGUGCGGAGCAAACAGGAUUAGAUACCCUGGUAGUCCACGCCGUAAACAAUGUCAACUAGCUGUUGGGGCCGUUAGGCCUUAUUAUCGCGCCUCAC